GACGAACGCUGGCGGCGUGCCUAAUACAUGCAAGUCGAGCGAAUGGAUUAAGAGCUUGCUCUUAUGAAGUUAGCGGCGGACGGGUGAGUAACACGUGGGUAACCUGCCCAUAAGACUGGGAUAACUCCGGGAAACCGGGGCUAAUACCGGAUAACAUUUUGAACCGCAUGGUUCGAAAUUGAAAGGCGGCUUCGGCUGUCACUUAUGGAUGGACCCGCGUCGCAUUAGCUAGUUGGUGAGGUAACGGCUCACCAAGGCAACAAUGCGUAGCCGACCUGGGAGGGUGAUCGGCCACACUGGGACUGAGACACGGCCCAGACUCCUACGGGAGGCAGCAGUAGGGAAUCUUCCGCAAUGGACGAAAGUCUGACGGAGCAACGCCGCGUGAGUGAUGAAGGCUUUCGGGUCGUAAAACUCUGUUGUUAGGGAAGAACAAGUGCUAGUUGAAUAAGCUGACACCUUGACGGUACCUAACCAGAAAGCCACGGCUAACUACGUGCCAGCAGCCGCGGUAA
rnacentral:rRNA from 1 species